CCGCCCCCCAGCCGGCCGUGGGCUGACUGUGACGUAACAGUGGUGCGGGGGGCUAACGGGCAGCGGAGGAGGGGUGUGCUAUGACGUCACGGCCGCCGGGAGCCAAUCGGGCGGGCGCGGAAGAUGCAUACGCUGAGCCUGUCCCCACAGUGUGGGAUGUCUGAGGAAGGAAUCUCAAAGUAUCCUCCGUGGCUCCUCUUCAACAACCGGGACGCUCAGCUGCGGAGGUCCCCUGUACCCGCUCCAGGUGCUUCAUUACCGUGACAGCCUAACGGGGAAUAGCGAGGGAGCCUUGGCGUUAGCACGGCCUGCGUGAAGAAAGCGGUUUGCUUCGUUCCCUCUCUCACAUAGUCCUUUGUGCUGGAAGAUGACCUUUUAAUUUUAUUUCCCCUCCCCCCGAAGAGUUUUUUCCGUCUCUUUGCUAAUUAAAUGAAAAUGUUACACAAAUAAAGAGCAGCUUUGCUUUGGAAAGGA